rnacentral:rRNA from 1 species
CCUACGGGUGGCAGCAGUGGGGGAUAUUGCACAAUGGGGGAAACCCUGAUGCAGCGACGCCGCGUGGGUGAAGAAGUAUUUCGGUAUGUAAAGCCCUAUCAGCAGGGAAGAAAGAAGACGGUACCUGACUAAGAAGCCCCGGCUAACUACGUGCCAGCAGCCGCGGUAAUACGUAGGGGGCGAGCGUUAUCCGGAUUCACGGGGUGUAAAGGGAGCGUAGACGGCCGUGCAAGCCAGGAGUGAAAGCCCGGGGCCCAACCCCGGGACUGCUCUUGGAACUGUGCGGCUGGAGUGCGGGAGGGGCAGGCGGAAUUCCUGGUGUAGCGGUGAAAUGCGUAGAUAUCAGGAGGAACACCGGCGGCGAAGGCGGCCUGCUGGACCGCGACUGACGUUGAGGCUCGAAAGCGUGGGGAGCGAACAGGAUUAGAUACCCCUGUAGUC